rnacentral:lncRNA from 1 species
AGCUUGCAUUUCCCACUGGACCUUGAGCCUUAAAGGAGAAUGAACUUUGUCUUUUUCAGUGCAGUGUUCCUGAUGCCCGGUGCAUUCUAGAUGUGUAUUAACUAUUUGCUAAAGGAAACUGAAAUUGCUCUUUUCCUUUGAAAGUAUGUAGAAAUUCUGAGAGUGAUCUGAUUAUCCAGGCUACUCGGGAAUCACCCAUCAAUCUGUGACCUAUCCUGGAGGUCUGGGCUGAAGCCAGUUUCUUCUCUUGUAAGAUUAGUAACAGUGUUUCUCAAUCUCCAUCCCCACUGUGUUUCAGAGAGCUUCUUCUGUGGUUGUCCUACCGGGAACCUCCAGAGGUGAGUCCCUUAAGUUUUCCACCCAUGAAGAUUCUGUCCUGGGUGUACUGAGUCGAAGGACUUCAAACAGAAUUGGCUGGAGUCCUCCUAGGAGCAACAGACCCAGCAGGGCCAGCUCAGUUUCGGAUCAACUGUGCAUUAGGGUCGCCCAGAGUCAAACUCUGCAUUCAUCCUGGUCCUGCUCUGAGGUAAAUCCCGACGCCCAAGAUGGCCUCUUUCAAGAUGUGAACAAUGAGAAAUGCCCUGGCUACCAGGCCUGCAUCUAUCACCCAGGCUAGAGAGUGCAGGAUGGCUAAUGUACACCCUUUGUGACAUUCCUCAAAAAUGUAGAUUGUCUGCUAGAAACAGAGUAAAUGUAUAAUUGUCCUGAGUUGCAUUUUCAGGUAGACUUUUCCUUCAAGAGAUCAAGAGGACCAUGGUGGAAGAGAGAAUUCUUAUGACCUUUGUAAAGCUGAGUAAGGAAAGGAAGACGGGAAGGGGUAGGACUGUCAAUACAAUUGGGACAACUGCACUGUGAUCAGCAUCCUGGUGCCAUCUUUGUUCUGUGGUGUGGUGUGUGUGCUUCUCUACAGAGACCUGCUAGUUCUGGACAGCACCAGGCUGCAGGGCUAGGGCAGCCUGCCCCCUAGAGACGCAGAGAGAAAAUAUUCAGCAAGUUACCACCUUACAGAGGGUGACGUGAACAUCAGGAGACUUGAACAUCAACAGACUCCCCCUUCAGAGACUGUUUUCAAGGACAGA